GACAAGCGGACCAAGUUAAAUUGUAGUCGGUAAAAAAGGAAGUUAGAAAACUUUUGUUGAUGUUAAGGAAAAUAAAUCUUAUUUGUAGAAGUUAAAUUCGUGCAAAGAGGGGUAGAUUGUUAGUUUCCUAAGCUUUGAUACUUCGAAAAUUAAAGGAGAGACCGGGAUUAGAUACCCCGUUAUUUUUAUUGUAAAAUUUGGUUUUAGCCUACCUGGGUAGUACGGAUAAAAUUAACUAUAUAAAAGUAUUUUUGUAUAGUAGUUUUUCGUUUAAAACUCAAAAAACUUGGCGGUGCCUUAAUUCUUUCCAGGGGAACCUGUCCUGUAAUCGAUGAUCCACGAUUUAGCUUACUUUUUUUUGAAUGUUAAUUUUUAUAAAAUAUAUCAGUUUGUAUACCGUCGUCGUCAGAUUACCUUUGAGAGAUAAAAAGUUGUCGGAAGAAUAAUAAUUUAAAGAUUGGAUUUAUUUUUGAAAUUUAAAAAAGUUUUGAUGUCAGAUCAAGGUGCAGCUUAUAAAAAAGAAGAGAUGGGUUACAAUAUAAAGUUAAUCUGGAUCUUAAAGUGUAAUUUUUAAGUGAAAUUGGACUUGGAAGUAAUAUAGAAAAGUUAUAUUGUAAAGUUUUUUAUUAAGGAUUUUGUGGCUUUGAAUAAAUAGUUAGUCUGUGU
rnacentral:rRNA from 1 species